GACCGGUUAUUCGCGCUGUUUUUCGCUUUCGCUAGCGAAUCGCGCUCAGUGUGAACUAAGCUUAAGAAGCAAUUUAGUAUUGCUCUCCCGUACUGAACUUCGUGUACAUUUUUAGUUAUUCCAUAAAUAACUGAAAAUAAUUUUCGUCUAAAAUGGAAAAUCAACGGAAUGGAAAUGCUACCAUUGAAUUUCGUAUGUUAGGUGACGACGAGCUGAUCAGGCGAUCGAUUGAGGAACUAAACGGUUUCUUUCGACUGGCCGGAUACAGACUAUGCCAGAUGAAAUACAUGCAACGGAGGAGAAAAUACUUGAAACUUAUUGAACGGGAAAACAAUUGUAAAUGUAAGUUGAAGAAAUUAAUUGACAAGUUGAAAAACGACACGAAACAGACGAAGAAAGAGAUUUCUUAAUCAAAAGAAGAGAAUUCAAAUUUAAAGGAAGAAGAGAAGAAAUUAAAAGACGACGUUCUCAGAGUGAAAUUUUCGUACGAAUCGAGAAAUGCACCAUUACCGAACGAG